CACGAGUGUAUAUUAGAUUUGUUGUAGUUAAAAAGCUCGUAGUCGGAAAUAAGGAUAUUUUGAUAAUGAAAGCGGAGCGCACGUCGGCAAAUGUCGGCUGGCGCUCACUCUCAAUUUCGAUAUUCUUUUAAUGAGGAAUUAGGUCGGCUCUCGGGCCGCUUAUUUCCUCCUUUUACUUUGAAAAAAUUAGAGUGUUCAAAGCAAGGCGCUCGCCGGCCACUAGCGUCGGUGGGCAACUUUAAACCUUUUGAAUAGUCCAGCAUGGGAUAAUGAAACAAGACCUUUUUUUGAUUUUAUUGGUUCUGCAAAGUUUUAUUGGUAAUGAUUAAGAGGGACAGUUGGGGGUAUUUGUAUUUCACAGCUAGAGGUGAAAUUCUUGGAUUUGUGAAAGACAAACUUCUGCGAAAGCAUUUACCAAGGAUGUUUUCAUUGA
rnacentral:rRNA from 1 species